rnacentral:tRNA from 1 species
GGGAUUGUGGCUCAGUGGUAGAGCACUUGCCUACCAUGUGUGAGGCACUGGGUUUGAUCCCCGGCACCA